rnacentral:lncRNA from 1 species
CAAAAUCCACACUCCAGAUGUCCGACCAUGUCUUCGUGGAGACUAUAUAUAUAUAAAAAAACGCAAAAGCAAUUAAGCAAAAAUAUACCUAUAUAUUUACAACUCUAGGAAAUGAUUUUAACAUGAAAGUAUACGAGGAAUAUUGAGCCAGGGCAUCAUGCCAAGAAUGGUAACAGUGCAGCAUGAUUUCAAGGCAACAUUCUUGAGAGUCCAUUCAAGAGGUUCAAUGGAGAAUUCUUUUAAUGCAUCCAUAACUAUAAGCACAUGUUUAGGAACAUCUGAUGACCCCAUGAGUGUCAGUUGAAAGUUGAAAUGUAUUUUCUUCCCCAAGUUGUUCUCUUCUAUAUUAGUAGCCAUGGCCUCCAUUUUAAUUAUUUCUUUUCUUUUUUUUUUUUUGAAGGAGAACGGAAGGGAUUUGCUCAAGGGCUUUCAGAUAGUUAUAUAGAAGUUUUCAGGAGCUGAAGAAGAGGAAGAAUGAAACAGGAAUAUAAUUUGUUCGAUGUUAACAAGAAAUGCUUUAUAAAACCUAUGAUGUAAAAGAACAUCAUGCAAAGAAGCCAAAUAAGUUGCCUGGUUUGAGGUGAUCUCCUUUCUCUUUGUUUAUUGGAGAUUCUUGGAUCCCAACUCUUUCUUACGACAAGCUCAAAAAUAACUCUGAACUAAGCACGUAUUUUACUCCUAAAACAAAUCUAACACAUAGGAAAGCUCCAUUGGUUUUCUGCAUUCUAAAGAGGUUACAUCUUUUUUAUUAGUGGUUUCUUUUGCACAACCAGUAAUUUGAAGUUACAAUUAUUUUUUGUCUCAAAAUUCUAAAACUUGAUUAUUCAAAUAUUCAAGUUUUAGAUAUUAACCACAAGUAGGCAUUCUGGUUUUGAAAGCGCGAGAUUUGGACAACUUUAAGUUUUAAAAAAACUCCUAACUUUACUCAAAGACUAAUUAGAUAUUGAGAAUUUGUGUCAACUAGUUUGGAAUUAAUUUAUGAAAUUUAACAAAAUUUAUGAAUGAAUAAAUUAGUGGCACUUAUGUAGUACAGAAAUUAAAAGUUCCUACAAAAUCUCGCUAGGUAUAUAAGAGAUUAUAAUUCUCAACUGUGAGAAUAUAACAUAAAACUCUUACUCUGCACUAUACAGUGGAACUCGGAAAUAUAAACAACAAAAUAACAGCUGCUAUUAUCUAAAAACUACCCCUCAUGUUUGUUUGAGGAUACAGAUCAAGACCCUAUUCCAUUGGUUCAGAUUUUCCAGUUAAAAAUUUCAUGAGAUACCAAAAUUAUUAGUGUUAUUGCCAAAUGUAACCUGCUCAUCUUAGGCUUCCAGCCGUUACAGUACGAAACACAGAGCCAAGGCUAGACCUCCGGCGACCGGUAGAACUACUAUCAUCUCUACUUGGAGAUACAUCCAUUCUUCUCCUUUUCUUGUUAACAGAACUUCCACUGUGUGACCCGCCCAUUGCAGCUAGUAAUUGCUGGGCUCUAGACCCACGCAUGCUUUUCUUUAUCAGGGUACACGCCUGCUUUCUUUCCAUAUUCUGCUCUAGCUCCUUCGGCAGUUGCUUUUUGCAGGAAACCCAGUCUGCUGUUCUUAGAUGAGGACGGGGAAUAUGGUAAUCAUUUUUUGCAAAUGAAAACCAAUGAUCUCGCACCAGCUUCUCUAUAUUCACUAUAGGCAACAAGUCUAUAAAAAAAAAUAGAAGUGCAAGAUGAGUUU